rnacentral:rRNA from 1 species
AAAUUGAAGAGUUUGAUCAUGGCUCAGAUUGAACGCUGGCGGCAGGCCUAACACAUGCAAGUCGAGCGGUAGCACAGAGAGCUUGCUCUCGGGUGACGAGCGGCGGACGGGUGAGUAAUGUCUGGGAAACUGCCUGAUGGAGGGGGAUAACUACUGGAAACGGUAGCUAAUACCGCAUAAUGUCGCAAGACCAAAGUGGGGGACCUUCGGGCCUCAUGCCAUCAGAUGUGCCCAGAUGGGAUUAGCUAGUAGGUGGGGUAACGGCUCACCUAGGCGACGAUCCCUAGCUGGUCUGAGAGGAUGACCAGCCACACUGGAACUGAGACACGGUCCAGACUCCUACGGGAGGCAGCAGUGGGGAAUAUUGCACAAUGGGCGCAAGCCUGAUGCAGCCAUGCCGCGUGUGUGAAGAAGGCCUUCGGGUUGUAAAGCACUUUCAGCGGGGAGGAAGGCGUUAAGGUUAAUAACCUUGGCGAUUGACGUUACCCGCAGAAGAAGCACCGGCUAACUCCGUGCCAGCAGCCGCGGUAAUACGGAGGGUGCAAGCGUUAAUCGGAAUUACUGGGCGUAAAGCGCACGCAGGCGGUCUGUCAAGUCGGAUGUGAAAUCCCCGGGCUCAACCUGGGAACUGCAUUCGAAACUGGCAGGCUAGAGUCUUGUAGAGGGGGGUAGAAUUCGGUGUAGCGGUGAAAUGCGUAGAGAUCUGGAGGAAUACCGGUGGCGAAGGCGGCCCCCUGGACAAAGACUGACGCUCAGGUGCGAAAGCGUGGGGAGCAAACAGGAUUAGAUACCCUGGUAGUCCACGCCGUAAACGAUGUCGAUUUGGAGGUUGUGCCCUUGAGGCGUGGCUUCCGGAGCUAACGCGUUAAAUCGACCGCCUGGGGAGUACGGCCGCAAGGUUAAAACUCAAAUGAAUUGACGGGGCCCGCACAAGCGGUGGAGCAUGUGGUUUAAUUCGAUGCAACGCGAAGAACCUUACCGGUCUUGACAUCCACAGAACUUUCCAGAGAUGGAUUGGUGCCUUCGGGAACUGUGAGACAGGUGCUGCAUGGCUGUCGUCAGCUCGUGUUGUGAAAUGUUGGGUUAAGUCCCGCAACGAGCGCAACCCUUAUCCUUUGUUGCCAGCGGUUCGGCCGGGAACUCAAAGGAGACUGCCAGUGAUAAACUGGAGGAAGGUGGGGAUGACGUCAAGUCAUCAUGGCCCUUACGACCAGGGCUACACACGUGCUACAAUGGCAUAUACAAAGAGAAGCGACCUCGCGAGAGCAAGCGGACCUCAUAAAGUAUGUCGUAGUCCGGAUUGAGUCUGCAACUCGACUCCAUGAAGUCGGAAUCGCUAGUAAUCGUAGAUCAGAAUGCUACGGUGAAUACGUUCCCGGGCCUUGUACACACCGCCCGUCACACCAUGGGAGUGGGUUGCAAAAGAAGUAGGUAGCUUAACCUUCGGGAGGGCGCUUACCACUUUGUGAUUCAUGACUGGGGUGAAGUCGUAACAAGGUAACCGUAGGGGAACCUGCGGUUGGAUCACCUCCUUACCUUAAAGAA